rnacentral:rRNA from 1 species
GGGUGCUAACGUCCGUCGUGAAGAGGGAAACAACCCAGACCGCCAGCUAAGGUCCCAAAGUCAUGGUUAAGUGGGAAACGAUGUGGGAAGGCCCAGACAGCCAGGAUGUUGGCUUAGAAGCAGCCAUCAUUUAAAGAAAGCGUAAUAGCUCACUGGUCGAGUCGGCCUGCGCGGAAGAUGUAACGGGGCUAAACCAUGCACCGAAGCUGCGGCAGCGACGCUUAUGCGUUGUUGGGUAGGGGAGCGUUCUGUAAGCCUGUGAAGGUGUGCUGUGAGGUAUGCUGGAGGUAUCAGAAGUGCGAAUGCUGACAUAAGUAACGAUAAAGCGGGUGAAAAGCCCGCUCGCCGGAAGACCAAGGGUUCCUGUCCAACGUUAAUCGGGGCAGGGUGAGUCGACCCCUAAGGCGAGGCCGAAAGGCGUAGUCGAUGGGAAACAGGUUAAUAUUCCUGUACUUGGUGUUACUGCGAAGGGGGGACGGAGAAGGCUAUGUUGGCCGGGCGACGGUUGUCCCGGUUUAAGCGUGUAGGCUGGUUUUCCAGGCAAAUCCGGAAAAUCAAGGCCGAGGCGUGAUGACGAGGCACUACGGUGCUGAAGCAACAAAUGCCCUGCUUCCAGGAAAAGCCUCUAAGCAUCAGGUAACAUCAAAUCGUACCCCAAACCGACACAGGUGGUCAGGUAGAGAAUACCAAGGCGCUUGAGAGAACUCGGGUGAAGGAACUAGGCAAAAUGGUGCCGUAACUUCGGGAGAAGGCACGCUGAUACGUAGGUGAAGCGACUUGCUCGUGGAGCUGAAAUCAGUCGAAGAUACCAGCUGGCUGCAACUGUUUAUUAAAAACACAGCACUGUGCAAACACGAAAGUGGACGUAUACGGUGUGACGCCUGCCCGGUGCCGGAAGGUUAAUUGAUGGGGUUAGCGCAAGCGAAGCUCUUGAUCGAAGCCCCGGUAAACGGCGGCCGUAACUAUAACGGUCCUAAGGUAGCGAAAUUCCUUGUCGGGUAAGUUCCGACCUGCACGAAUGGCGUAAUGAUGGCCAGGCUGUCUCCACCCGAGACUCAGUGAAAUUGAACUCGCUGUGAAGAUGCAGUGUACCCGCGGCAAGACGGAAAGACCCCGUGAACCUUUACUAUAGCUUGACACUGAACAUUGAGCCUUGAUGUGUAGGAUAGGUGGGAGGCUUUGAAGUGUGGACGCCAGUCUGCAUGGAGCCGACCUUGAAAUACCACCCUUUAAUGUUUGAUGUUCUAACGUGGACCCGUGAUCCGGGUUGCGGACAGUGUCUGGUGGGUAGUUUGACUGGGGCGGUCUCCUCCUAAAGAGUAACGGAGGAGCACGAAGGUUGGCUAAUCCUGGUCGGACAUCAGGAGGUUAGUGCAAUGGCAUAAGCCAGCUUGACUGCGAGCGUGACGGCGCGAGCAGGUGCGAAAGCAGGUCAUAGUGAUCCGGUGGUUCUGAAUGGAAGGGCCAUCGCUCAACGGAUAAAAGGUACUCCGGGGAUAACAGGCUGAUACCGCCCAAGAGUUCAUAUCGACGGCGGUGUUUGGCACCUCGAUGUCGGCUCAUCACAUCCUGGGGCUGAAGUAGGUCCCAAGGGUAUGGCUGUUCGCCAUUUAAAGUGGUACGCGAGCUGGGUUUAGAACGUCGUGAGACAGUUCGGUCCCUAUCUGCCGUGGGCGCUGGAGAACUGAGGGGGGCUGCUCCUAGUACGAGAGGACCGGAGUGGACGCAUCACUGGUGUU